AAUUUGCAUGCACGUGAAGGGAAGAUAGAACUGAAGAAACUGAUUAAAAAAUAUAUAUUUCUUCAUGGCUGGACCUAAAACACAAGUGUCUGAUGAAGCAGUUUAUCAAACCGUCACGAGUCUGUGUCAGCAAGUCAAAGAAGGCCUCGUCUACAACGUGAACAGGAGGUUGGAUUCUGUCUUUGGUUAUCUAGCUGUAUGAGUGUUAAAUACCUGUCAUAAAGCUAGAUAACCGAAAGUAGAAAUUACUUCCACAUUCACGCUCUGAUGGGAAAUGAGGCCUUGUCUACUUCUGACAAUUUUCGCCAAGUUCAACCAAAGGCAUCUCAUUCACAACAUGCAGCACAAAAAGAGGACCUACCACCAGAACAGAACAUGGUGGAAGAAAUUGUCCCGAAAGAGCCAACCAAACCCUAUCUCAACACCACACCCUCUUUGCCCACGGGCCCAUCUGCACUGCCAACGGGCAUGUGCCAACAAGGGGACAAAGCCCCGGUGGAUCCUGGAGGAUGGCGCAUGGAGAUAUGCGCGGGAGAGAGAGGAGCCAUCUUGGGAGAUGUUGCCGCGGCACCUAAGAUGGCUGGGCUGGCACGCUAAGUAAGCAUGUGGAGUAUCAGGAGUGACAUUCUACAUAACCUUCUGGUGAUGGUGUGGACCAAUCCAGCAGACACCUUCAGACUAUUGGAAAACAUCUCUGUGACUGUCAUAGACUUCUUCUACAUCUGACAUUGGAAAACAUCUCUGUGACUGUCAUAGAUUUCUUCUACAUCUGACAUUGGAAAACAUCUCUGUGACUGUCAUAGACUUCUUCUACAUCUGACAUUGGAAAAAGCAACAUGUCUUUGCCACGGAACUAAAGGCAUAUGGAACAAUAUACAAGGAUUCUAAGUUAAAAGAGAGAGAGAUUCAUUCCACAGAAGAAGGGUUGUGGUAUUACUGAAUAUAAUCACCACCUAAAAUCACAAGACUAGUUAAUAAAAAAAUCUAUCAGUACUAUUCAUAGUAAAAGUAAUGCAGAAGUGUGUUUUCGCUUGAGUGGUGUGUGUGCGCGCGUGCAUGCGUGCUUGAUGUCAGUCUUUUUUGUCAGGUCCUUGCUUGAAAAAAUUAUAUUUCUUGCAUAGGUUUAGGGUAAAACUUAAUUGGAAAUAAUAGAAUAGGGGUUAGUUUUAGGUUUAGGCACCAGUUAGGUUUAGGGUUAGGUGUUAGGGCUUAGUUAAGUUCAGGCAUAAAGGUAUGAUUAUUAAGGUUAGGGUUAGCUGAGGGUUAAUUUUCUGGUUUGGGGAUAGUGAACAUAGAUUUCUGGGUUAGAGUUUGCCUUCAGAACCUCACAUGGAUAAAAACAAGUGUGUGUGUAUUGGUGUGUUUGUAAAUCUGCUUUGCCCAAACCAUAUGAAAUGUCACAUAUUAAAUGUCACAUAUCACAUAAUUGUCAAUAAAAUAUGGCUAUUUGCAUUGUA